UGGGGAAUUUUGGACAAUGGGCGAAAGCCUGAUCCAGCAAUGCCGCGUGUGUGAAGAAGGCCUUCGGGUUGUAAAGCACUUUUGUCCGGAAAGAAAUCCUUGGCUCUAAUACAGUCGGGGGAUGACGGUACCGGAAGAAUAAGCACCGGCUAACUACGUGCCAGCAGCCGCGGUAAUACGUAGGGUGCAAGCGUUAAUCGGAAUUACUGGGCGUAAAGCGUGCGCAGGCGGUUUGCUAAGACCGAUGUGAAAUCCCCGGGCUCAACCUGGGAACUGCAUUGGUGACUGGCAGGCUAGAGUAUGGCAGAGGGGGGUUAGAAUUCCACGUGUAGCAGUGAAAUGCGUAGAGAUGUGGAGGAAUACCGAUGGCGAAGGCAGCCCCCUGGGCCAAUACUGACGCUCAUGCACGAAAGCGUGGGGGAGCAAAACAGGAUUAGUACCCCUGGUAGUCCCACGCCCUAAACGAUGUCAACUAGUUGUUGGGGAUUCAUUUCCUUAGUAACGUAGCUAACGCGUGAAGUUGACCGCCUGGGGAGUACGGUCG
rnacentral:rRNA from 1 species